rnacentral:piRNA from 1 species
UAAAAGAGAAGGAUCACCUAUUUCAGAAC